CAGUUCGGAUUGGAGUCUGCAACCCGAACCUCCAUGAAGCUGGAUUCGCUAGUAAUCGCGCAUCAGCCAUGGCGCGGUGAAUACGUUCCCGGGCCUUGUACACACCGCCCGUCAAGCCAUGGGAGCCGGGGGUGCCUGAAGUACGUGACCGCGAGGAGCGUCCUAGGGCAAAACUGGUGACUGGGGCUAAGUCGUAACAAGGUAUC
rnacentral:rRNA from 1 species